rnacentral:rRNA from 1 species
AUUGAACGCUGGCGGCAUGCUUUACACAUGCAAGUCGAACGGCAGCGCGGGCUUCGGCCUGGCGGCGAGUGGCGAACGGGUGAGUAUACAUCGGAACGUGCCCAGUAGUGGGGGAUAGCUCGGCGAAAGCCGGAUUAAUACCGCAUACGACCUGAGGGUGAAAGCGGGGGAUCUUCGGACCUCGCGCUAUUGGAGCGGCCGAUGGCAGAUUAGCUAGUUGGUGGGGUAAAGGCCUACCAAGGCGACGAUCUGUAGCUGGUCUGAGAGGACGACCAGCCACACUGGGACUGAGACACGGCCCAGACUCCUACGGGAGGCAGCAGUGGGGAAUUGUGGACAAUGGGCGAAAGCCUGAUCCAGCAAUGCCGCGUGUGUGAUGAAGGCCUUCGGGUUGUAAAGCACUUUUGGCGGGAACGAAAAGGACUGUGCCAAUACCACGGUUCGAUGACGGUACCCGCAGAAUAAGCACCGGCUAACUACGUG